UACGGGGGGGGCAAGCGUUGUUCGGAAUUACUGGGCGUAAAGGGCGCGUAGGCGGCCUGCUAAGUCACACGUGAAAUCCCUCGGCUCAACCGGGGAACUGCGCGUGAUACUGGCGGGCUUGAAUUCGGGAGAGGGAUGUGGAAUUCCAGGUGUAGCGGUGAAAUGCGUAGAUAUCUGGAGGAACACCGGUGGCGAAGGCGGCAUCCUGGACCGAGAUUGACGCUGAGGCGCGAAAGCUAGGGGAGCAAACGGG
rnacentral:rRNA from 1 species